AUGAAGAAGACCGUUGUCCUGUACCCUGGCGUCGGCGUCGGCCACCUGGUGCCGAUGGUGGAGGUCGCCAAGCUGUUCCUCAAGCACGGCCUGGCCGUCACCGUGGUGCUCAUUGAUCCGCAGGCCGAGUCCACGGACUUCUCCUCCGCCGUCGCCCGCGCGAGGUCCUCCAACCCCUCCGUCGCCUUCCACGUCCUGCCGCCGCCGCCCGCGGAUUCCAACUCCGACACCGCGCCCACGAACCCCGUCAUCCAGAUUUUCCGGCUCCUGAAAUCCAUGAACGCCCCCCUCCUGGACUUCCUCCGCUCGCUGCCCUCAAUUGACGCACUCGUCCUCGACAUGUUCUGCGUCGACGCCCAAGAUGUCGCGGCUGAGCUCAAGCUGCCGGUUUACUACUUCUACGCGUCGGCCGCCGCCGACCUCGCGCUCUUCCUCAACCUGCCGAGCAAGCUUGCCGGCAGUAAGGUGAAGGAGCUCGGCGACUCUAUCAUGACUUUCCCGGGUGUUCCUCCGUUGAAAGCUUCGGACUUACCCGAAGUUACCCACAACGAUGAAAUACUCAAGGCCAUCUUGGGCAUGUUCGACCGAAUGCCAGAUGCCAACGGAAUUCUCAUUAAUUCCUUCGAGUCGCUGGAGACGCGGGCGGUGCGCGCUCUCAAGGACGGGCUCUGCGUCCCUGGUCGUGCCAUGCCACCGGUCUACUGCAUCGGGCCUUUGGUGUUGGGAGGCGGUGACCAGGAGCACGAGUGCCUCCGGUGGCUGGACGCGCAGCCGGACCAGAGCGUAGUGUUCCUCUCCUUCGGCAGCAUGGGCACGUUCUCCGGUAAGCAGCUCCAGGAGAUUGCAAGUGGAUUGGAAAAGUCAGGGGAGAGAUUCCUGUGGGUCGUGCGGAGCCCGCGCAAUCCCGACUACAAGUACGGCGAUUCGCUGCCGGAGCCCGAUCUCGACGCGCUCAUGCCGGAAGGGUUCUUGGAGAGGACCAAGGACAGAGGACUCGUGAUCAAGUCUUGGGCGCCACAGGUGGAGGUCCUGCGCCACAGGGCGACCGGCGCAUUCAUGACACACUGCGGCUGGAACUCGACACUGGAGGGCAUCACGGCAGGGUUGCCGCUGCUGUGCUGGCCGCUGUACGCGGAGCAGAAGGUGAACAAGGUGCACAUAGUGGAGGGAAUGAAGCUCGGGGUGGAGAUGAGAGGCUACAACGAAGAGGUGGUUAAGGCCGGGGAGGUGGAGGAGAAGGUCAGGUGGGUUAUCGCGUCCGAGGGCGGCAAGGCGCUCAGGGAGCGGGUGGCGGCGGCGAAGGAUGCAGCUGCCGAGGCGCUCAAGGAAGGGGGCUCGUCUCACUUGGCGUUUGUCCAAUUCCUCAACGACCUGGACACUUCCACAGCCCCAACUGUGCAGCAUUGA
rnacentral:rRNA from 1 species